rnacentral:rRNA from 1 species
GACGUAGGGCGCGAGCGUUGUCCGGAUUUAUUGGGCGUAAAGAGCUCGUAGGCGGCUUGUCGCGUCGUUCGUGAAAACCCGGGGCUCAACUCCGGGCUUGCGGGCGAUACGGGCAGGCUAGAGUUCGGUAGGGGAGUGGGGAAUUCCUAGUGUAGCGGUGAAAUGCGCAGAUAUUAGGAGGAACACCGGUGGCGAAGGCGCCACUCUGGGCCGAAACUGACGCUGAGGAGCGAAAGCGUGGGUAGCAAACAGG